rnacentral:rRNA from 1 species
GAUGAACGCUAGCUACAGGCUUAACACAUGCAAGUCGAGGGGUAGCAGGGUAGCAAUACCGCUGACGACCGGCGCACGGGUGAGUAACACGUAUCCAACCUUCCCAUAACUCAGGGAUAGCCUUUCGAAAGAAAGAUUAAUACCUGAUAGUACUUAAGAAAGGCAUCUUUUUUAAGUUAAAGAUUUAUUGGUUAUGGAUGGGGAUGCGUUCCAUUAGAUAGUUGGUGAGGUAACGGCUCACCAAGUCUUCGAUGGAUAGGGGUUCUGAGAGGAAGGUCCCCCACAUUGGUACUGAGACACGGACCAAACUCCUACGGGAGGCAGCAGUGAGGAAUAUUGGUCAAUGGGCGAGAGCCUGAACCAGCCAAGUAGCGUGAAGGAUGAAGGUCCUAUGGAUUGUAAACUUCUUUUAUAGUAGAAUAAAGUGAGCCACGUGUGGUUUUUUGUAUGUAUACUAUGAAUAAGGAUCGGCUAACUCCGAGCCAGCCGCCGCGGUAA